AAUUCUAUAUAAUUGUCUGCUGUUGCAUGAAGACUGAAGCCUCUUACAGCCUGAAUACUUAAGAAAGGAUCUCUAUCAUGUGACUGUCCCGAUGUGUGCUUCCUUAUACCUUAAGCCAAAAAGGACUUACUAUGUGUAUCAUGGCUAACUCUCAUGGGAUCAGUGAUCUGAUAAUCUCUAUAUUUUGUGGAGAAGCUGAGAAGGUUUCACGAGAGAAGCUGGAUAUCACAGGAACCGCCAUUAAGAAGGUUCAUCCAAGAUGACAGUCAUUUCUACCCAUCAUGGGCAAACCACCUGGACUCUGGAAACUGCACUUAAUUUAUUUGCAAUCAGUUGCAGUUUUGGACAACCUUGGGCUGUUCUGCUUUCUCGCAGCAUGGCUGUAAUGGGCUAUGACUGGCACAGCGCACUGCAUGAACCUCUCCUGCACAGGUCCUCCUGCAGCCCCUGCAACCCAAACUUGGCCACGUAGACCUCGUGCAACACUUUUCCUUGGCAAUAUAGUAUUUAACGUGUCUGUCAAGAGAGAAUGCCUGUUCGAAGAUGACUUGCAAGUGAGGUGGCUUUCUGCUUGGACAUGGCAAUCUCUUCAUUGCCCACAGAGGUAACCUAGAGAAGUAGUUCAGAUUAGCUUUUCAGAACAAGAUAAAAGUAAAUCUAUCCUUAGGAAAUAGAAUUCAAAUAACAUCAGYGGUCUUGUAGGUUGUUAUUGUAGGAUCCGAAUGUUCUGUGCUAGUAUUGCUCCUCAGGACAGGGCAUAGAUUCCUCCAAACCUCCCCAUCACAGAGGUGGGUGCCUGCUGUGUGCCCAUCCUCUAGGUCCACUCCAGAUACAGCCAAUUGGUGACCAUUGUUCAUCUGAUUAAAGUUGGGGAGAGGAGGCCACUUUGUCAUGACACACUAUUUUCAGUUCAAAGCUUAAGCUUAUUAAUUAAGAAUUUUAGAAAAGAGACUAUGGAUAUGUGCAACACAAGAUAUUUAUUAUAUUCAGAACAACGUAAAAG